rnacentral:rRNA from 1 species
AUGAUUGAUUUACCUAUUCAAAGCAAUUUACGCGAGGGACUUUCUUUGACAGAAUAUAUAAUUUCCUGCUACGGAGCCCGCAAAGGGGUUGUAGAUACUGUUGUGCGUACAGCAGAUGCUGGAUAUCUUACACGUAGACUUGUUGAAGUAGUUCAACAUAUUAUUGUGCGUAGAAGAGAUUGUGGUACUAUCCGAGGUAUUUCCGUAAGUCCUCAAAAUGGGAUGACGGAAAAACUUUUUGUCCAAACACUAAUUGGUCGUGUAUUAGCAGACGAUAUAUAUCGGUUCACGAUGCAUUGCCGCGCGAAAUCAAGAUAUUGGAAUUGGAUUAGUCAAUCGAUUCAUAACUGCCUUUCGAGCACUACCAUUUCGAGCACAACCAAUAUAUAUUAG